AGUUUGUUUAGGAGAUAGCUAGAGUUAUUUCGGUUUUCAGUCCCUGUGGAUACGAUACUCGAUUGUUGUUUAUACUACGAUUAAACCGUGUUAGUUGCGGUAUUUUUAUUGCUAAUAAAUUAGUGAUCAACUUUUUGGCGCCGUUGCCGGGGACUGAUUAGAAGUUACUUUAAUAUUUCCGAUAGGACUUAGUAGUACUUCAGGCGUUUACUGUUUCUUUUUAUUUUUAUUUUUCUAAUUCUCAUUUUUUUUUCAGGCACUGCAUACGAUGGCUACUGAUGAACAUAU
rnacentral:lncRNA from 1 species